GGCCGAGUGGCGGAAUGGCAGACGCUAGGGAUUUAAAAUCCCUUGCCCGUUCAGGGCGUGCGGGUUCGAUCCCCGCCUCGGCUA
rnacentral:tRNA from 1 species